UCCCUUGUGGCUCAGGUGGUAAAGCGUCUGCCUGCAAUGCGGGAGACCCAGGUUUGAUCCCUGGGUAGGGAA
rnacentral:tRNA from 1 species